rnacentral:rRNA from 1 species
UACGUAGGUGGCAAGCGUUGUCCGGAUUUAUUGGGUUUAAAGGGUGCGUAGGCGGUUUUUCUAAGUCAGUGGUGAAAGGCAGCAGCUCAACUGUUAGCAUUGCCAUUGAUACUGGAGAACUUUGAGUACAGAUGAGGUAGGCGGAAUUUUAUGGUGUAGCGGUGAAAAUGCAUAGAUACCAUAAAAGAACACCGAUUGCGAAGGCAGCUUACUAGCUGUAACUGACGCUGAUGCACGAAAGCGUGGGGAUC